rnacentral:rRNA from 1 species
GACGAACGCUGGCGGCGUGCUUAACACAUGCAAGUCGAGCGGUAAGGCCCUUUCGGGGGUACGACGAGCGGCGAACGGGUGAGUAACACGUGGGUGACCUGCCCUCAGUUCUGGGAUAAGCCUGGGAAACCGGGUCUAAUACUGGAUAUGACCUCAUGACGCAUGUUGUGGGGUGGAAAGCCUUGUGCGACUGAGGAUGGGCCCGCGGCCUAUCAGCUUGUUGGUGGGGUGAUGGCCUACCAAGGCGACGACGGGUAGCCGGCCUGAGAGGGCGACCGGCUACAUUGGGGACUGAGACACGGCCCAGACUCCUACGGGAGGCAGCAGUGGGGAAUCUUGCGCAAUGGGCGAAAGCCUGACGCAGCGACGCCGCGUGAGGGAUGACGGCCU